rnacentral:piRNA from 1 species
CAGAGAACGCUUUAGGUUUCCUGAA